UGCAAGUCGAACGAGAACUUUUCCUGUAGCAAUACAGGGAAAGUUUUAGUGGCGAACGGGUGCGUAACACAUGGGCAAUCUGCCGAAAAGUGGGGGAUAGCUCGCCGAAAGGCGAAUUAAUACCGCAUGUGGUGAGGGACGACAUCUUCCUGAAUCCAAAGCCGGGGCAACCUGGCGCUUUUUGAGGAGCCCGCGGCCUAUCAGCUAGUUGGUGAGGUAACGGCUCACCAAGGCUAUGACGGGUAGCUGGUCUGAGAGGACGACCAGUCACACUGGAACUGAGACACGGUCCAGACACCUACGGGUGGCAGCAGUCGAGAAUUUUUCUCAAUGGGGGAAACCCUGAAGGAGCGACGCCGCGUGGAGGAUGAAGGCUUUCGGGUUGUAAACUCCUGUCAUUUGGGAACAAGGUGCACACGUUAACUGCGUGGGCAUUGAUAGUACCAGAAGAGGAAGGGACGGCUAACUCUGUGCCAGCAGCCGCGGUAAUACAGAGGUCCCAAGCGUUGUUCGGAUUCAUUGGGCGUAAAGGGUGCGUAGGUGGCGCUGUAAGUCGGGUGUGAAAUUUCGGAGCUUAACUCCGAAACUGCAUUCGAUACUGCGGUGCUUGAGGACUGGAGAGGAGACUGGAAUUCAUGGUGUAGCAGUGAAAUGCGUAGAGAUCAUGAGGAAGACAGUGGCGAAGGCGGGUCUCUGGACAGUUCCUGACACUGAGGCACGAAGGCCAGGGGAGCAAACGGGAUUAGGUACCCCGGUAGUCCUGGCAGUAAACGGUGCACGUUUGGUGUGGAGGAUUCGA
rnacentral:rRNA from 1 species